GCUGUUUCACUCUGCAGCUGAAGAAACAUACAGUAGUGGCAGGGAGCCUUGGGGCAGCUGGUUUAAGGAUUGAUUUUGCAAGCUGUUCCUUACUAUCUGACAUUCAUAAAAUUCAUCUUGAACAACUGGUUUUCCUACUGAACUCUUCAACUCUGACCAGAAGAGGAUCCUGCUGGCUGGACACAUUCAGAUCAUCUCUGGAGCUGCACAAAAUGGUACCAGAUGCACUGAGAUCCACCUCUCCAUGUGUAACAUCCAGCUGGGCCUGCAUUGAAGGAUAGAAGAAAAGACUGAAGUCCUUCUGCUGUACCUUGAAGCCAGCUCCCAGCCCAUGUCUGACCCCAUCAUGGACUCAGGGAAAAAAACCAUUUGGGUGCUAGCUUUGACAACACUCAACUGACCCUCCUGAGCUGAAAAAUCCCUUGCAGCAUUUUGAUAAAGCACUGCAUGUCCAGAUCCAACCCCAUAGCCAAUCCUGUUUCAAGAGCAGGAGAAACUAGAGACCUCCUGAUCUUUUUCAAAUUGAAUUUUCAUAUGAUCCUAUGAAGACACCAUGCUUUUCUCCAGUAUUUAAAUAGUCUUCAUUCCAAUAGGUAAGUUUAUUAAUCAAACUUUGUACCAAGUAGCUUUGGUUAAUACAUUGUCAUAAUUCCACCUCUACGGUACAAGAUUCCUUUAGACAAAAAAGGCAAUGAAGCAUGCAUCCCAUAAAACAAUAAAAUACAGCUAAGGUUGUUGUUAUGGAAUGAAGUUGCUGCAAAUUCCACAUAAACCAGGAAUUUAUGCCAGGAGUUCUUCAAAGUACUGGGGCUGGCCUUCCAACAAUGUGAAAAUGUUAACACCGGGGCUAAGGGAGCUUGAUUUUUUUUCCUUCCCUUGUGUAAAUAUGAUAGUAUUUCUCUGUGUCCUGGUUUGAAACCCUCUUGAGCUGCAGUGGGUGCCAAUAGACAGGAUGUUUGUUCUGCAGCAGGAGGCUUGUUCUGCAACAGGGCACUCAAACUGCUCCUGUCACAGGAGGUCAUAGUCACCUUCUCUGUUCCUCCACUGCAAACUGUUGAUGACCCAGGUCAUAAUGGUGCACAAAUUUUCUAAUAUAACUCAGUGAAGGUGGAUAAAAUAAACAAUAACACAUUUCUUCUUGAAUAUAGCUUAUCUUUUAAACUGUAUCUUUUUGUAUUUCUGUGAAGGAUUACCCCACUCCUGGUUCUUCUCUCUCAUGUCAAGAAGGCACUGCUGGAGAAACCUUCCUUGACCACAAAAUGUAGUUCCUCACGAAGCCUUGCUCAGGAGACAGAGUUUUGUUGCUUAACUUCAGCAUUUAUUCCUAUGUAGGGUCUACCACCCAUCUGAAAUAUUCCUUUAAAACAAUUUUCAUUUCCUCAUUUAAACCAAAAAACAGUUUUCACGGGAGUAUGUGAAGGCAUUUCUCUUUUUUGAAAGAUUUUUUUCCCAUAACGUUUUCCUUCAGUAGUACUUAUUCAUCAAAAAUUUAUUUCUUAGCUCCUAGAAAUGUGUUUUCUUUCCUCUUUUGUCUGCAACCUUCUUCUACUCAGAAACAGUCUCUUGAGGAUCACUGUUUCAAGGGCAGAACUUCUACUAUGCAAAAUAUGUAACCCUCAGGAAAAUGCUACCUUUGAAAUUUUUCUGUUCCAAACAAAAACUCAGGAUGUAGAAGCAGCCCAGAAAAGGUGUUUGGGAUGAAAAUGUAUGAUCAGUUUGAGUAAGGGCUGUAACCUCUCAUUACAUGCUUUUCAUUGUACUAUAUGACUUUAUUCUCUUUCUACAGAUGUACUACACCUACUUGCUUCUCUCUAAUGGUUCUCUUCGUUCCCAUUUCUCCCCAGUUUUCAAUCCUUUGCUUUCUUCAGAACUUGCACUUGAGACCUCCAUUCCUAAAAUUCUCUUCCCCUCAACAUUUUGAUCGAAGCCAGGAUGAGGCCUUUUCCCCUUAGUGGGAAAAGACAGUGAGUGGUAGCCGGGAGUUUCUAGAAGACCUGUCACAAAUGAUCACAUUGCAGAAGAAAUGUAGGUAUGUUAGGAAGGAGGCAAUUGGGCUAAUCAUGAGCUCACAAAAAAACAAGCACAGAGAAAGUAGAUCUUUCCAUAGGAUGAGUGCAGAAAUGUGGCUUGGUAAGAAUGGGUAAGAACAAACACAAAAAAAGCCAAUACAACAAAUAAAACUUAACUAGAAAGAGCAUCCCAAGUAGUGAGAAACCAUUUGAUAAGUACAUCAGUGGUAAGAGGAAGUCAAAAGCAAGUGGAUUACUCAUCAGAGAGAGAAAGAUAUUGACUGAUGCCAGAGAGGGCUCAGACUGCCUCAGGUUUUCUUUGCACCAGCUAAAAGAGGUCACAUUUGAUCAGGUGACUGAUGUGAUACACAUUAAUGACAAGGGAAUAAGGUUUCAGCCCAGGCUGGGGCAGAACAAGAAUACUUAGGUAACAUCAAGAUGUUCAAAGCAACAGUCUGGCUGCACUUUAUGCCAGGGUAGUGAAGGAAGUGGCUCAAACAGCAUUGGAAACACUCAUGUUUAUCUCGGAGAAUCCAGGGAAUAAAUAAGGGCAAGAAAUAAGCAAACUGAUGCUGUCUUUAAAAGUAGCAUUUGAAAAUAAAUAAAUAAGCCAGUUUUUCACCCAAGAAAGCAUCUAGCACAAAUAGACACACGAUUUGUAGACAGGUAGAAGGAAACAAUAGGGUAAGCAACUAUUAAUAUGAACUUGUCAACUAGAAACUGGGACAAUAUGGGCAAAUUUCCCUUAGCAAUGGGGAGCAGAGAAUGUUAUGGAAGAGGGGAUAGUGGACUCCACUCAUCUGUGCCUUGAUUAGCCUCUAUGCACAUGCUUAUGAGGAAGGGAGUUCAGCUAAUCUGAAAAAUUUAGGCAGGGGGUACAGAAGUUUGGAAACAGCAGUUGUCAGUGUUUUACAAGCAAGAGGGUGGAUUACAAAUGCAGUUCCAAAGGGGGUGUUUCGUUAGCAGCCUUCAGAGAUGGCACUAACUGGGGAGCAACUGUAAACACAUUGGAGGAUGACAUAAGAAUUCAAAAUAACCCAAAGAAUUUACUGGGAAAGCAAAGAACAUGACUGAGAAGCACUGUGAUGAAUUGUUUUUGCAGGCAGGGUUACCCUCUGCACACUCAGAGGCUGGGGCACUGCUCAGCACGGGCUGCAGACAGCAGCUGAGGAGAGAGCAGAGAGCUGCAGGCAGUCCGUGGCCAAAGAGACUGCAGCAGAGGCAGACAAAUUGCAGCUGGUCAUCUUAAAGAAAACAUGGCACAGGGACGUGAUAGCAGCCAUCAGAUGUAAAAGGACACUGCAACACAGAAAGAGAAGACUUCCCUUGGCAGGGACCACCACCUUCACAUUUCAGCAAGGAAUAUUCAGAGAGGAGGAUAAAGUGUCACCUGGAGAGGCUGUAGGGCCUCUGAAGUAUUGAGUGUUCCUCAUAGCAGAAUCCAGGGAAGCCCCACAAAAGGGACACAGAGACAGACUGAAGUGGUGUAGAUGUGAAACCUUUCUGGUGUCCUCUGUAAGACAAAGGGCUAAAGGGAGGGAAAUCUAAGGCAUUAAUGGUGUACAAUAAUUUGCUAGUAGAGAAGAGAUCAAGUACAUGAAAUUCCAUCAACAACUUGCUCUUCCAUUUAUAUUUGGCAAUGACACCCAUCCUCUUCUAAUGCACACAAGCCUUUUCUGCUCACUAGCUGUGUUCACGUGUACAAGCGUAUAUUGAUCUGUUUUCUCUCCUUCCCUUCUUACAAAGGAAAAAAUAACUGCAGAGUUCAGUAAUGCACGGGCUGUGCUCUACGAUGAAAAUAGUCUGAGGCACUUACACGCUGAAGUAAAUUUAGCUUAACAUAAAAAUAACCUUCACAAAUUUGAAAUGCCUAUUUUACAAUUAACGUCAGGUGCUAACAGGAUAUAAUUUUCUUCCAAGUGUGUGCUGAUGUGACAGGCUGACUGAAGCGAUGCAGGCACCUCUCCUCGCCGCCCUCUGGGUCUCAGAGAUGCCCCCUUCACCUUUCGGCUCUUCCCUCCGAGUCUCGUCCUUUCCUCAGCCACACAGGGUGCUCCUGCGGCUCGGCGAUGCGGUGCGCUCCCGCCCAGCCCGCUGCAGCCGCGCCGCGCUGUUAAAGGCGCACCCACCGUGUAAAUAAUUGAUACGGAGCGGGCGCGCUGCGGAGCCCGAGCGCCUCCUCCUCCCGUUCCCCAGCCCUGCGCUGCCCGCCCCGCGGCC